GCCACAUGAUGAUCUGUAGCUCAGCAGCCUCCGGGCCGUGAUGACCUGCUAUCUAUCACCCUUUACUGAUGGCU